CCCAUUUUCAGGCUGUCACUAUCUUCCCAAGUUUCGUCAUCUUGCUCUCAUUCUUGAACAGUUGAAACUUGAACGUAACCGCUCGAUCACCGCUGCGCGCUUCUCGUCUUCACUCUUGUUGACAUUGAUUAGAGCUGUAUGGUAGUUCAGAUCACGGCUUCGAUUUGGUUCUCGCUUCUCUGUCAUUCAAGCUGAGUUCCUGGAACCUACUGCUGCGUCUCUCUAGUCUCUCCUCGAGGUGUUUGUCUUGCCUUUCGUAUCUGUCGGAGCGUCAUCGAGGACCUUCUAGGUUCAAUUUCAUCCAAUGUUCACGAGGAACUUUCCAUCACCAAUGCGUCUGUGCGAUUCCCUUCAAGACCAGAAGAUCUCAAUAAAACCACUCGCUCCCUGUCUUUGGUUUCCCUUUAACUAAUUUGAACAAAUUCUAUAUACAUUACCGAAACCCUCUGCAAUGCUUAAACAACUGUAUACCUAGCCAACCAAAAUGACCGGAAUCCAUACCCAAAAAAAAAAAAAAAUCUUUGAAGGAAAAAUUUCCUUUGUAAAUCCCAUGUUAAAAACUUCUAAACAAACUUGAAUAACUCAUCCAGUGCAAAGUGAAAAAAAGUCAUAACUGGAGAAUGGGCAAUGGUGUUAGACGUUUAUUCCUUACUAAAUAAAAUACUAAAGGAGCACGCAUGCAUUUUGUGGAGUAAGUUAAUAUGGUUUUGUAAAUCCAAGAGAUUGCAUAGACUCAUCCAGGAGUCAGGGCAUAGCUAAGUUCAAUGACACGGAUGAGUUGAGAGAUUGAAGAGCACUAUUAAAUGGAUGAACUAUACCAAGUUCAUGCAUUCCUUUUAUGUGUUUUUCUGGACAACCAGUUGUGUAUUGAUUCCAGGAUAUUAACAUA